GACGAACGCUGGCGGCGUGCCUAAUACAUGCAAGUAGAACGCUGAAGGAGGAGCUUGCUUCUCUGGAUGAGUUGCGAACGGGUGAGUAACGCGUAGGUAACCUGCCUGGUAGCGGGGGAUAACUAUUGGAAACGAUAGCUAAUACCGCAUAAGAGUAGAUGUUGCAUGACAUUUGCUUAAAAGGUGCAAUUGCAUCACUACCAGAUGGACCUGCGUUGUAUUAGCUAGUUGGUGGGGUAACGGCUUACCAAGGCGACGAUACAUAGCCGACCUGAGAGGGGGAUCGGCCACACUGGGACUGAGACACGGCCCAGACUCCUACGGGAGGCAGCAGUAGGGAAUCUUCGGCAAUGGACGGAAGUCUGACCGAGCAACGCCGCGGGAGUGAAGAAGGUUUUCGGAUCGUAAAGCUCUGUUGUAAGAGAAGAACGAGUGUGAGAGUGGAAAGUUCACACUGUGACGGUAGCUUACCAGAAAGGGACGGCUAACUACGUG
rnacentral:rRNA from 1 species